rnacentral:rRNA from 1 species
AGUGAACGCUGGCGGUAGGCCUAACACAUGCAAGUCGAACGGCAGCACAGUAAGAGCUUGCUCUUACGGGUGGCGAGUGGCGGACGGGUGAGGAAUACAUCGGAAUCUACUUUUUCGUGGGGGAUAACGUAGGGAAACUUACGCUAAUACCGCAUACGACCUACGGGUGAAAGCAGGGGAUCUUCGGACCUUGCGCGAUUGAAUGAGCCGAUGUCGGAUUAGCUAGUUGGCGGGGUAAAGGCCCACCAAGGCGACGAUCCGUAGCUGGUCUGAGAGGAUGAUCAGCCACACUGGAACUGAGACACGGUCCAGACUCCUACGGGAGGCAGCAGUGGGGAAUAUUGGACAAUGGGCGCAAGCCUGAUCCAGCCAUACCGAGUGGGUGAAGAAGGCCUUCGGGUUGUAAAGCCCUUUUGUUGGGAAAGAAAAGCAGCGGGUUAAUACCCCGCUGUUCUGACGGUACCCAAAGAAUAAGCACCGGCUAACUUCGUG